CGCAUUAAGCACUCCGCCUGGGGAGUACGGCCGCAAGGCUGAAACUCAAAGGAAUUGACGGGGGCCCGCACAAGCGGUGGAGCAUGUGGUUUAAUUUGAAGCAACGCGAAGAACCUUACCAGGUCUUGACAUCCUUUGACAACCCUAGAGAUAGGGCUUCUCCUUCGGGAGCAGAGUGACAGGUGGUGCAUGGUUGUCGUCAGCUCGUGUCGUGAGAUGUUGGGUUAAGUCCCGCAACGAGCGCAACCCUUGAUUUUAGUUGCCAUCAUUUAGUUGGGCACUUUAAGGUGACUGCCGGUGACAAACCGGAGGAAGGUGGGGAUGACGUCAAAUCAUCAUGCCCCUUAUGACCUGGGCUACACACGUGCUACAAUGGACGGUACAAAGAGCUGCAAGACCGCGAGGUGGAGCUAAUCUCAUAAAACCGUUCUCAGUUCGGAUUGUAGGCUGCAACUCGCCUACAUGAAGCUGGAAUCGCUAGUAAUCGCGGAUCAGCAUGCCGCGGUGAAUACGUUCCCGGGCCUUGUACACACCGCCCGUCACACCACGA
rnacentral:rRNA from 1 species